UGUCCGUGAUGACAAAUCCAAAGGCUUGUUUCUCAGAAACAUUCGCAGUGGCUGCCUGAUAUAGCUUUCACCUCGCCGGGCUUGAGAGCUUAUGUUGCCCUUUCAACCUUCCUUGGAUGUCUUAGACU